rnacentral:rRNA from 1 species
UACAGAGGGGGCAAGCGUUGUUCGGAAUUACUGGGCGUAAAGGGCGCGUAGGCGGCCUACUAAGUCGGAUGUGAAAUCCCCAGGCUUAACCUGGGAAUUGCAUCCGAUACUGGAUGGCUUGAAUCCGGGAGAGGGAUGCGGAAUUCCAGGUGUAGCGGUGAAAUGCGUAGAUAUCUGGAGGAACACCGGUGGCGAAGGCGGCGUUCUGGACUGUUACUGACACUGAUGAACGAAAGCCAGGGGAGCAAACGGG